AGAAUAUAAGAACCCGGCUCUUAACUUUUAACUGAAAAUGUUAAGAGCAUGCUCUUAAAUAAGAGAUUUAAGAGCAUGCUCUUAACAUUUUCAGUUAAAAGUUAAGAGCCGGGUUCUUAUAUUCU
rfam:Brassica oleracea var. oleracea cultivar TO1000 chromosome C1, whole genome shotgun sequence